AUAUUCGUCUUGUUAAAGUAAAAUAUCCUCGUCGUCGUCAGAGAAUUAAAUUUUGGAAUAUACAAACCCAACUCUAAUGUAAAAGUAGAUACGCCCGUGUACGUAUCUGUCGUAGUCUCGUAGCAUGCACAAGUAGUACGUAAAGUUUUUUAACACCUCGGUUGUAUUGAUAGCUUACCAAGUAUCCCCGGCUCUGCAUACUACUUUGAAUUGAUGGGGGCCGAAUUUAGCACGUGAAAAACAACAGCACAGGAGACAUUUUGAAUUCGAUCGUUUGGCCAAGCAUUUAAUCUAGAAAACAACAAGAGCUCGGCGAAAAUUUCGGGCCCCUCCUCGAUUAAAACCGGUCCCAACUUACACCGUCAUUGAAGAGAUGAGCUUUUUGUGGCCACAAAAAUUAGUCAAAGGUCUAGCCAAGACGUGUCUCACCAAAUGAGUGAAGGCAAAGACGUGUCUCGCCAAAUAACAGCACGCUGGCUGAAGACAUAAAAUAUGAUUCUAAUUUGCCAACUCAUGCCGAAGAUCACGUGCAUCGAUGAUUUAUGUAAUUUGUUCUUAAUGAAUUUUUAACAUAAAAAAUUAGUCAAAAACAACCCUUAAAAAUGAUACUAUAUUAAUGAUUUAUGUCAUUUCAAAACGUAAUGGUCUUGAUUAAUGAGUUUUGCAACUCAAAAUAGUAUUACAAUUCUUUCUCCCUAAGACUUCUCGCUCUCAUGAGAGUCUCUCGUAAUAGUAAAAAUAAUUAAAAUUAAAUAAAACGAUAACAUGUCGUUUUUUAAACGAAAAAGGUUAUUAGUAUUAAACAUGUCGCUUUUUAUUGCCGUCAAUGUUCAAAUUGUGGUCUGAGUUAAGAAAAUAACAACUUUUUAACCAAUUUUUUUUUUUUUGGCCUUGCAUAUUUAUUUUUAUGAAAUGUGAAGCAAAAUGAGCACGCAGGUUAUGGGAUGAGAGAAUUCCUACUAUUCUCUUUUCUUUUCAUUUUUCAAAUAAUUAUAAAAGAAAAACAACUAGUUCAGCUCGUCAUAUGGAGAAGUGUAAAUUAAUCUAAUACAAAUAAAAUAAAUCAAAACCAUCACUAUCCCAUGAUCUAGUUACUAAAUAUACAUAAAUAUAUCGUAACCAUGCUAACCAAUCAAUUGAACGCUUAAGUUCACCUGACAAAGUAAACAUCUAAAAAAAUAUAUUUUAAAAUGUUCGGAAACAAGUGGCAAAUAAUCAUCAUCAUUCGUUUACGUGAAUGAGAUGUAGAUGAUAAAAAGUAAAUAAACAAUAUGAUUGAAUUGGUAUUCAUUUUAUUGUUUCUCAAUUUCUCUUCUCAAAUAAAAGAUUUUUAAUUUGCUUCUAUUUCUUUCUCUUCAUCCAUUUUUACAACUAAUUUGGUUUUGCUUCUCUCUCCUACCUCUUGUUGUAAAACUUCAUGACAUAAAAAUAGAUAAUGAUAUAACAACAAAUUCCUUUAUAUAAACCGAUGUGAUAUAAUAUGAUUAAUCAAAUGAAACCAUCACGUGAACUAUAUGAUUUAUUUUCAGUCAAUUAAUCAUAUAAUGAUACAUCAGUUUAUAUAAAAAUAAUUUGUACAAAAAUGUGUAGAUUGAUGUAGUUUAUCUCUCAUUAAAAUAGACAUGCAUACGUCGUCAAUUGAAAUGUGAGUUCUAAUUACACCAACUCAUUUUAGACACAAUGCUUCCACGGUGGUCUGACCAUGGAUUUAUAGUCAUAAACUAUAAGAAAUGUGACAUUAUUCUUGUGCAUUAAUUGUGAGCAUCACAAUGGAAAUCGUCAGUGUAAUAAUCAGUCAUAUUUUUCAAGUUAAUUAAUACGUAAAAUAACUGACUCUAAAAUCGAGGAAUUAAUUUGUGGGCUGAUGAAGGCCACAGAGUCCAGGUUUUUUAUGAGCCCAUUUUGUCCAAUUCUAAACUUUUAGCUUUUGACCAAAAUCAGUUAAUCAACCCUCACGCAAGAUGUUUUAAUGCGUUUUUUUUUCUUCUCAACCACGAGGUGGUCCUGAGUAGGCUCCAACUAUCGAAGAUACCUUUAAAUCUAUAUCACAACCCACACUAAUCCUCACUCGCACUGGAUCGGCCCGUAAGGGAUAAAGUGCUGGUCAAAGUGGUGAUUUCAUACGAGAGCGGGGUUUUAAUGCGUUUUUAAUGAUAAGAGAAGCUCAUCAUCUCUCUCCAAAUAAUAUUGAGCGUCCACCAAUCUCGUAUCUUUUGUAUUAACUCGAGAGAUUGUACUAAUUAAAGCAACUAUAAGACCCUAAUGUUUUAAUAUGUACCUUUCUUUUUGAUAAAUAAAGUACCGAAUCUCAAUUCCAUUACCCAUUUUUUACCUCGUCUAAAUAGAUUGUUUGCUACUCACAAAUUAAAUGGAUUCAUUUGGAUUAGAUUUAUUACUGACCUCUUACUUUUAGUGCAUGAAGUUGCAUUACUCUUGGCCAAGGAAAAAAUGAAAUAUUCUUUAGUAAUUAAUUAAGGACGUAGGGUUUACUUUCUUGAUUGAAAAAAUGAAUAGACCUUAAUUGAUUUAAAAUCUAAAUAAAUCAUGGUCCAAUGAACUGUGUCCAUAGUUUAUGAUCUUGUAUAUUUUAUGCACAAAGUUAUAUUUAUAGAUAAGAGAAUCCUUGAUAAUUUAAAUUAGAAAAAAAAUUAAUAUGAUAGGGUUUAACUGUUUAAGUGGGUGUGUAAGUAAAUAAAAUAAUUGAGUAAGAGUAUAUUGGAGAAGAGAAUUUAGCAAACCGUUUUAAAAUUUUUACAUUAAAAAAAAGGACAAGAUUCUCUCAUUAUCUUUUUUUUUCCUCCAUGCAUCUCUUUGUUUAAUGAGUUGUUAAGAAUGAAUUUUGUUUUUUUUUUUUAACUUUAUGUUUAAUUUUUUCAUUAGCAUAUAAAAAGAAAGGAGAGGCAAGUAGAAAAAAAUAAAUGAGGAGAAAAUCCUAAUCUAUUUUUUAUUCUAUUAAAAAUAUCUUAAAAUCUCCUUUACGACAAAAAAAAAAAAACUAUUUGUCCAACUUAAAUAAGUUGUCCUUAGGUCGAAAAAUAAACAAUUGUAUCUAAAACUUUAAUUACUAAUACCCACCCUUUCUAACUACAAUAUAAAUUGAGAUACUGCACAUGCAUGACAAUUUAUUGGGUUGGGCUCGAGCUUGGGCAUUAAUAAAGGGUUCGAGUCCUAUAAAAAACCCAAUGUUUCACCUUCAGGCCCGAUUGUAAUUGGGUCAGGUCGGGCUUGGACAAACCAAACAUUUUUUUAAUUUUUUUUAAUAUUUAA
rnacentral:lncRNA from 1 species